rnacentral:misc_RNA from 1 species
AAUUUCAUAUUAAAUUACAAAGCUUAUGCACCCAAAUAUUAGCUAUAGCUUGAAAACAGAGAAUCCUCCAGUACCCGAUAGAAAUGAAACAGAAAACUGAUUACACCAACCAAUUGAGAUUUCACCAUUCACCAAGACAGACAACAUAACAAUAUCAAAGCAAGAAGUUACAGCAAACCAGCUAUUGGUGAUAGCCAAAUGUCUUGGCAACGUCCAAAACCUAGACUCUGUCAACUAAGAAAGAAAAUAAAAGAUUACCACUUCAUAAUACAUAACAAGAAAUAGAUAAGCCAGGCAUGAAACAGCAAGAAACCAUUAAAAAAUUAGGUUAGAU